rnacentral:rRNA from 1 species
GAGGUCUUCGGAUCGUAAACCUCUGUUGUGAAGGAAGAAUAACUUAGAUAGUAAAUGAUCUAUGUUUGACGGUACUUUACCAGAAAGUCACGGCUAACUAUGUGCCAGCAGCCGCGGUAAUACAUAGGUGGCAAGCGUUAUCCGGAUUUAUUGGGCGUAAAGAGUGCACAGGUGGUUUAUCAAGUCAGUUGUUAAAUACCAAGGCUCAACCUUGGCUCGCAAUUGAAACUGAUAGACUAGAAUAUCGGUGGGGGUAGU